GGCUCAGGUGAUGGGAGGGAGGCCUGCACCCCAACAGACGGUUCAGCCCCUACCCCAGCACCUCAGGGGCAGCCAAGAUGGUCACAUGUAGUCUUGCAGCCAGGGCUUUGCGGUUCCAGUGUCUAACUGGAGGGCCACGGGGUGGUGGCAGACUCGCCUCUGGGCGGGGACGGGCACGGGCUGGGCUGGUGGAGGGUGCCCGUUCACCCCGCUUGGCCUCCCAGCAGCAGUGGACACACACGUGCACAGGAUCGCCAACCGGCUGAGGUGGACCAAGAAAGCGACCAAAUCCCCAGAGGAGACCCGUGCCGCCCUGGAGGAGUGGCUGCCCAGGGAGCUGUGGCACGAGAUCAAUGGACUCUUGGUGGGCUUCGGCCAGCAGACCUGUCUGCCUGUGCGCCCUCGCUGCCAGGCCUGCCUCAACCAAGCCCUCUGCCCAGCCGCCCAGGGUCUCUGAUGGCCGCGUGGCUCCGCCGAGGUGCCGCUGUGGCCAGCGUCUGUGAAGUGCCUUUACGUUUCAGGAAGCUACGCCUGUUAAAUAAAGCUUUGGUGUGUUUGCA
rnacentral:sRNA from 1 species